rnacentral:rRNA from 1 species
UACGUAGGGGGCUAGCGUUGUCCGGAUUUAUUGGGCGUAAAGAGCGUGUAGGCGGCCAGAUAGGUCUGCUGUGAAAACUCGAGGCUCAACCUCGAGAUGUCGGCAGAAACCAUCUGGCUAGAGUCCGGAAGAGGAAAGCGGAAUUCCACGUGUAGCGGUGAAAUGCGUAGAGAUGUGGAGGAACACCAGUGGCGAAGGCGGCUUUCUGGUCUGUAACUGACGCUGAGGCGCGAAAGCGUGGGGAGCAAACAGG